rfam:Solanum tuberosum cultivar DM 1-3 516 R44 scf00006_156, whole genome shotgun sequence.
GUCGUUGUAGUAAAGUGGUAAGUACUCCCGCAUGUCACGCGGAUGACCCAGGUUUGAUCCCCGGCAGCGGCG